CCCGAACUGUCGAUUCUCCUGUUCCUUGGAUGCUGCCUGACCUGCUGCGCUUUUCCAGCAACACAUUUUCAUCCCUUUUCCUUUAGACUUAGAAAGACCGCUCCAAGAGUUAGUCACUCUUCCUGUGAAACCUUUUCUUGAAAUCUAUCUGAACGUCACUGCAUUCCCAUGGGGGGGGGGGGGGGGUGGUGCUGGUUUAGCUCGUUUGGCAGGAAGGAUUCUCCUUCUGAACUCCUCCCCUCGCCUGAGCUAUUGGUGGUCCUCAGGUUAAACCACCACUAGUCGUCUCUCUCUCUCUCUCAAAGAAGAAUGCAGCCUUCUGGUCUGAUAAGACUAUGGCAACACACACGCACUGUGCUCCUGACUUCCAGCUUGUUCUGCUCCCUGACUCACUUUGAAAUUACACUUUUUUGAUUUGCA